AGCAGUAGCCGCGGUAAUACGUAGGGUGCGAGCGUUAAUCGGAAUUACUGGGCGUAAAGCGUGCGCAGGCGGUGAUGUAAGACAGUUGUGAAAUCCCCGGGCUCAACCUGGGAACUGCAUCUGUGACUGCAUCGCUGGAGUGCGGCAGAGGGGGAUGGAAUUCCGCGUGUAGCAGUGAAAUGCGUAGAUAUGCGGAGGAACACCGAUGGCGAAGGCAAUCCCCUGGGCCUGCACUGACGCUCAUGCACGAAAGCGUGGGGAGCAAACAGGAUUAGAGACCCCUGUAGUCCCUGUCUCUUAUAC
rnacentral:rRNA from 1 species